CUCUCUCUCUCUCUCUCCCCAGUGGCUCUGCCUUGCCUCUCCUGUCCCGUGUAUGGUCUCGCUACUCUAAGCGAGGGGACGAGAGACGUGUCCUGUCACCUCUCCCUCCACCUUCACCCCUCCGCCUAGAGUGGGGUCACCUCGGCAGCCAGAAGAGCCACGUGCUGUUGUUGAGGGAUAUUAAGUCGAUACAGAGAAUGAGAAUGAGAGACAGAGACGCUUUGGAGAUCAGAAUUCGGGCCAAAGACCCUGUUGUUUUCCAGUUCGAGACCAGCCCGGAGCUAGUGCAGUGGGAACGGGAGUUGACCAGACCGCCGGUAGAUGCGCCAAGUCCGGAACAGCGAUCCCGCUCCAUCAGCGUUCAUUUCUCUCCGGAAACCUGGCAUCGAGAAGCUCCCGGAUUCUCCAAAACACGAGAGGCAGGAGUGGAGCGGGUAUCAAUAAAGGAUUGACUCAAUCUGUCUGUGUGUCUCUCAUUCAUUCAUUCAUUCAUUCACUCACUCAUUCAUCCACUCAUGCUUUCACUCAUUCAUUCACUCGUUCACUCAUCAUACAUUCACUC